rnacentral:rRNA from 1 species
UUUCGCAAUGCCCGAAAGGGUGACGAAGCGACGCCGCGUGUGGGAAGAAGGUCUUCGGGUUGUAAACCACUGUCAGGAGUUAGGAAAUGCAGGGGGGUUAAUAGCCCUUUUGUUUGACUAAGGCUCCAGAGGAAGCCACGGCUAACUCUGUGCCAGCAGCCGCGGUAAUACAGAGGUGGCAAGCGUUGUUCGGAAUUAUUGGGCGUAAAGAGCACGUAGGCGGUCCUGCAAGUCUGUUGUGAAAUCCUUCCGCUUAACGGGAGAACGGCAGCUGAUACUACAGGACUAGAGUACGGGAGGGGGGAGUGGAACUUCUGGUGGAGCGGUGAAAUGCGUAGAUAUCAGAAGGAACGCCGGCGGCGAAAGCGACUCUCUGGCCCGAAACUGACGCUGAGUGUGCGAAAGCUAGGGGAGCAAACGGGAUUAGAUACCCCGGUAGUCCUAGCCGUAAACGAUGGGCACUAAGUAGAGGGGUUUU